rnacentral:rRNA from 1 species
CCUACGGGAGGCAGCAGUGAGGAAUAUUGGUCAAUGGUCGCGAGCCUGAACCAGCCAAGCAGCGUGAAGGAUGACGGUCCUGCGUGUCGUAAACCUCUUUUAUCAGGGAACAAAGGCGGGCACGUGUGCCCGGUUGUGUGUACCUCAUGAAAAAGCAUCGGGUAACUCCGUGCCAGCAGCCGCGGUAAUACGGAGGAUGCGAGCGUUAUCCGGAUUUAUUGGGUUUAAAGGGGGCGCAGGGGGGUUUUUAAGUCAGCGGUGAAAGUCCGCGGCUCAACCGCGGGAUUGCAGUUGAAACUGGCAGUCUUGAGUUGGAGUGAGGUAGGCGGAAUGCGUGGUGUAGCGGUGAAAUGCAUAGAUAUCGCGAAGAACUCCGAUCGCGAAGGCAGCUGGCCGGCGUGCCACUGACGCUGAGGCACGAAAGUGUGGGUAUCGAACAGGAUUAGAUACCCCUGUAGUC